CCAGCGAGCGGCAAGGGCGCAACCAGUGAUAAAGAUUGAGGUCUACAGUCGGCAGCCCGGUUGUGGCCAAUGUCCUUGCACGUUGGCCUCCAAUGCCUAGAUGAAGGUUCUAAGCCCUAGGUGCUCUCCUCCUUGGCGUCGGAUCUAACUUGCUGGAGAGUGUUCAAUCAUGGAUGGUUGGUUUAAUUACUUUCUUGGGUUGUCAGCAGCUAACAGACAAAGUAUAUUUUGCAGUACAAAGGAAACUUCAGAGAAGAUCAAGGCCAAGAACAAACUGACCAUGUUGCA